rnacentral:rRNA from 1 species
GACGAACGCUGGCGGCGUGCCUAAUACAUGCAAGUUGAGCGCUGAAGGUUGGUACUUGUACCAACUGGAUGAGCAGCGAACGGGUGAGUAACGCGUGGGGAAUCUGCCUUUGAGCGGGGGACAACAUUUGGAAACGAAUGCUAAUACCGCAUAAAAACUUUAAACACAAGUUUUAAGUUUGAAAGAUGCAAUUGCAUCACUCAAAGAUGAUCUCGCGUUGUAUUAGCUAGUUGGCGAGGUAAAGGCUCACCAAGGCGAUGAUACAUAGCCGACCUGAGAGGGUGAUCGGCCACAUUGGGACUGGGACACGGCCCAAACUCCUACGGGAGGCAGCAGUAGGGAAUCUUCGGCAAUGGACGAAAGUCUGACCGAGCAACGCCGCGGGAGUGAAGAAGGUUUUCGGAUCGUAAAACUCUGUUGGUAGAGAAGAACGUUGGUGAGAGUGGAAAGCUCAUCAAGUGACGGUAACUACCCAGAAAGGGACGGCUAACUACGUG